AUGGAAAUUGUCAGGAGGAAUUUUAUCGCUCCCGAUGCUGAUGCUAUAUUGAACAUACCAUUGCGGCAAGGGGGAGGUGAGGACUUCUGGGCAUGGGCGUGGGAGAAGACGGGUGUCUAUACUAUAAAAUCUGCGUAUCGGGCUCUUAUGACUCGCAACGAGCACUCAGCUCUAGAGGAAGGGGUGACGACGGGCACUUCAGAGACAGAGAAGCAGUUAUGGACAAGGUUGUGGAAGCUAAAGGUGGUGCCUAAAGUUCGUGUGUUC
rnacentral:rRNA from 1 species